rnacentral:rRNA from 1 species
CCCAGACUCCUACGGGAGGCAGCAGUGGGGAAUAUUGGGCAAUGGGCGCAAGCCUGACCCAGCGACGCCGCGUGAGGGAAGACGGUCUUCGGAUUGUAAACCUCUUUCAGCAGGGAAGACAAAAGGACGGUACCUGCAGAAGAAGCCACGGCUAACUACGUGCCAGCAGCCGCGGUAAUACGUAGGUGGCAAGCGUUAUCCGGAAUUACUGGGUGUAAAGGGUGUGUAGGCGGGGCUGCAAGUCAGAUGUGAAAAUUAUGGGCUCAACCCAUAACCUGCGUCUGAAACUGUAGCUCUUGAGAGUGGGAGAGGUAAACGGAAUUCCCGGUGUAGCGGUGAAAUGCGUAGAUAUCAGGAGGAACAUCGGUGGCGUAAGCGCUUUACUGGGCCGUAAUUGACACUGAGGAACGAAAGCCGGGGUAGCAAAUGGGAUUAGAUACCCCAGUA